rnacentral:rRNA from 1 species
ACCUACGGGGGGCAGCAGUGAGGAAUAUUGGUCAAUGGUCGGGAGACUGAACCAGCCAAGCCGCGUGAGGGAGGAAGGUACAGAGUAUCGUAAACCUCUUUUGUCAGGGAACAAAGGCGGGGACGUGUCCCCGGAUGAGUGUACCUGAAGAAAAAGCAUCGGCUAACUCCGUGCCAGCAGCCGCGGUAAUACGGAGGAUGCGAGCGUUAUCCGGAUUUAUUGGGUUUAAAGGGUGCGCAGGCGGUCUGUUAAGUCAGCGGUCAAAGCCCGGGGCGCAACACCGGCCCGCCGUUGAAACGGGCAGG